AUGGAAGGCGACAAGCACCACUUCGUCCUGAUCCACGGCGUCUGUCACGGCGCGUGGUCCUGGUACAGGGUGGCCACCGCCCUGGAGGCCGCCGGCCACCGCGUCACCGCGCUGGACAUGGCCGGGUGCGGCGCCAGCCCCGGGCGCGGCGAGGAGGUGGCGUCCUUCGAGGAGUACAGCCGGCCGCUGCUGGACGCAGUGGCGGCGCUGGCGGAGGGCGAGAAGGCGGUCCUCGUCGCCCACAGCUUUGGCGGGCAGAGCCUCGCGCUGGCCAUGGAGAGGUACCCGGAAAAAGUAUCCGUGGCCGUGUUCGUCACGGCCACCAUGCCCGCCGCAGGGAAGCCCAUGACGUACGCGUUCAAACAGCUAUUGCAAGGGAAAGGGCCAGAUUUCUUCAUGGAUUCCACGCUCGGAAGCACCGGUGAUCCCCGGAAUCCGGAUAAGACGUUUCUGUUCGGACCAAAGUACAUGGCGCGGAGAGUGUAUCAGCUGAGCCCUCCUGAGGAUCUGACCCUGGGAAUUGCGAUGGUGAGGCCGUCACGGCGGUUCCUAAAUGACGACACCAUGAACGGGGACGUCCUGACGUCGGCGAGGUACGGAGCGGUGAGGCGUGUGUACGUCGUGGCCGAGGACGACGAGUGGAAGCCGCCGGGGAUGCAGCGGCUCAUGGCCUCGUGGAACCCCGGCACUGAAGUCAUGGGAUUGCAGGGAGCUGAUCACAUGCCCAUGUUCUCAAAGUCGAGGGAGCUCUCAGAAUUACUCAUGGUGAUUGCCAACAAGUACCCAAGAAGCUGA
rnacentral:rRNA from 1 species